GUCCAGCCGCGGUAAUACCGGCAGCCCGAGUGAUGGCCGAUCUUAUUGGGCCUAAAGCGUCCGUAGCUGGCUGCGCCAGUCCGUCUGGAAAUCCACUCGCCCAACGAGUGGGCGUCCGACGGAAACUGCACAGCUUGGGACCGGAAGGCGCGAAGGGUACGUUCGGGGUAGGAGUGAAAUCCCAUAAUCCCGCACGGACCACCGAUGGCGAAAGCACUUCGAGAAAACGGAUCCGACAGUGAGGGACGAAAGCCAGGGUCUCCAACCGGAUUAGAAACCCUUGUAGUCC
rnacentral:rRNA from 1 species